UACGUAGGGGGCUAGCGUUGUCCGGAAUCAUUGGGCGUAAAGCGCGUGUAGGCGGUUCGGUAAGUCCGCUGUGAAAGUCGGGGGCUCAACCCUCGGAAGCCGGUGGAUACUGUCGAGCUAGAGUACGGAAGAGGCGAGUGGAAUUCCUGGUGUAGCGGUGAAAUGCGCAGAUAUCAGGAGGAACACCAAUCGCGAAGGCAGCUCGCUGGGACGUUACUGACGCUGAGACGCGAAAGCGUGGGGAGCAAACAGG
rnacentral:rRNA from 1 species